rnacentral:rRNA from 1 species
UACGGGAGGCAGCAGUGAGGAAUAUUGGGCAAUGGAGGCAACUCUGACCCAGCCAUGCCGCGUGCAGGAAGACGGCCCUAUGGGUUGUAAACUGCUUUUAUACAGGAAGAAACUUACCCACGUGUGGGUAACUGACGGUACUGUAAGAAUAAGGACCGGCUAACUCCGUGCCAGCGACCGCGGUAAU